ACGAACGCUGGCGGCGUGCUUAACCCAUGCAAGUCGAACGGAAAGGCCCUGCUUUUGUGGGGUGCUCGAGUGGCGAACGGGUGAGUAACACGUGAGUAACCUGCCCUUGACUUUGGGAUAACUUCAGGAAACUGGGGCUAAUACCGGAUAGGAGCUCCUGCUGCAUGGUGGGGGUUGGAAAGUUUCGGCGGUUGGGGAUGGACUCGCGGCUUAUCAGCUUGUUGGUGGGGUAGUGGCUUACCAAGGCUUUGACGGGUAGCCGGCCUGAGAGGGUGACCGGCCACAUUGGGACUGAGAUACGGCCCAGACUCCUACGGGAGGCAGCAGUGGGGAAUAUUGCACAAUGGGCGGAAGCCUGAUGCAGCAACGCCGCGUGCGGGAUCACGGCCUUCGGGUUGUAAACCGCUUUCGCCUGUGACGAAGCGUGAGUGACGGUAAUGGGUAAAGAAGCACCGGCUAACUACGUG
rnacentral:rRNA from 1 species